rnacentral:rRNA from 1 species
AUUGAACGCUGGCGGCAGGCCUAACACAUGCAAGUCGAGCGGAUGAAGGGAGCUUGCUCCUGGAUUCAGCGGCGGACGGGUGAGUAAUGCCUAGGAAUCUGCCUGGUAGUGGGGGAUAACGUCCGGAAACGGGCGCUAAUACCGCAUACGUCCUGAGGGAGAAAGAGGGGGGUCUUCGGACCUCACGCUCUCAGAUGAGCCUAGGUCGGAUUAGCUAGUUGGUGGGGUAAAGGCCUACCAAGCCGGCGAUCCGUAACUGGUCUGAGAGGAUGAUCAGUCACACUGGAACUGGGACACGGUCCAGGCGCCUACGGGACGCAGCAGUGGGGAAUAGUGGGCAGUGGGCGAAAGUCUUGUACAGUCAGGCCGAGCGUGUUACGAAGACGUCGGGAUUGUGAAGCCGGUUAAGUUGGUAUGAACGGCAUUAAGUUGAUACCUAGCUGGAGUGACGUUACUAACAGAAUAAGCACCGGCUAACUUCGUG